rnacentral:lncRNA from 1 species
GCAUCAAAAACUCAAGUGCUGAUGAAGGUUAGAGAGCAGCUCCUAAGGCCAGAGAGGAUGCGCUCGCACCUCGGAAAGUGCAACCCAAACAAAUUCUGCCUCUAUCAUCGUGACCAUGGCCAUGAUAUGGAGGAGUGUAUUCAGCUCUGAGAUGAGAUCAAGGAGCUCAUCAAACGAGGUCGGUUCGACAGAUUCAUUCGAUGUCGACCUAAAGGAAGGGAAGAUCGACCUAGGGCCCUGCCGUAGCCAGAACCGCCCAGGAGGGAGGAGCAGCCAGA